GUGGGGCCGGCCGGUUCUCUCAAAUCACUGCUGUUGGGCGAACUUGAUUUUCUUUUGUCCUUUUUUUUUAAAUUUUUUUUAUUGAUUUCUUUUUAACGCUUCGACCUCACUCACUGUGACUGACUGACUGACCGACCUACCCAAACGAUCAGGCACCGGGCGGACUCUCCAUUUGAAUCCCAAAGCCGUAGAGGAGAGAAAUUUUGUUCUUCUUCUGCAAGGCAGGUGAUCCGAGAGAGGCGCAGGCUCUUCGUUUGCCAUGGCGACCGACCCUGGGAUCCCCAAGGUGGAGGCGGCGCCCGGAGGAAGCGGCGACGCAUCGUCUGAGGGGCGGAGGGGCAGCGAUCCUCCGCGCCUGGAUCUGAAGAAGGCCAGGAAGGAGAGGAUCUGCACCGCCAAGGAGAGGAUCAGCCGGAUGCCGCCCUGCGCCGCCGGUAAGCGGAGCUCAAUCUACCGGGGAGUCACCAGAGUGUGAGAAAGAAAGUGUCCAUGAAAUGACGGAGACAGUGAUAUCUAUGAAAAAGUGCCUCUUUACUACUUGGAUUUCGGUUUGUGGAAAUAGGUGGGUAUUUGGUUAUAUUUAGAACAAAAUAUGAUCUUGGAUUGGAAGUGUGUUCUGAUCAGCGUAGCGGCUUCUUUGAUUGGCGAGCUCAGUCCAGCAAGCAUGGUGGGACAAUCGGAAUGUCAUGGUUGAUCGUGACUUUUUAAUUAGUAGUUAUGGCUUCUUCGGUUGGUAAGCUCGUCAAGGUUAGCGGCUCAGCAUGUCAGGAUUAUUGGAAUGGCGGUGUUGAUCAUUUGCUUUUUAGCUUACUCCUUUGGAUUAGUUGUCUUAUUGGUGUAGUCGUUGGAUUUCAUCGUACGCAUUUAGGUGGUUGCCAUAUUAUCUCAAGUUAAAAAGUAAGAUCAAGGUGAGAGGUAAAUCGAGAUUAUACUGGGUGGUGGUUUGAGCUCUUUAUACAGAGAUAUAGGAUCACAAAUUAAAUGAGAAUUAACGCCUCUUUAAUUCACAUCUUAUUUGGGAGGUGAAAGGCCAAGGCCACCCUUAAUUAUGGAAUUAACCAAGGUGUAAACACCUUAAAUUAAAAUUGGGUGGCUAGAAGGACGUAAACAGUGUUGAGUAGCACGUCUUCCAUCAGUGAUGUUUGGUAUUGUUCCUGCACACUACACUAAUUUGAUUUUGAUAAAGUCAAAAAUCAAAUCAAGGACUCCUUUGAUUUGAAUAUUUGGGCCAUCAAAUCAAAACCCCACUAGUGGGCUUGUUUAACUCAAUCAAUGGGAUUCACAAUAGUAGAAAUUCAGCCCAAUUAGGCUGAGCUUUUAGCUCAUUUUAGUUGAGAAAUUAGCCUACUAAAUUUUGUGCGACUCAAAAUACCCUUCAAAUUAGUCCCACUUGAAUUUGCGUUUAUGCGUACUCUGAUUAGGGCUUAUAAGUUCACAUUUGUGGAUUACAAUCGUAUACACGAGCUUGUGCCCUUCUCUGAUUGUAAAUCAAUCUAGACGAAACAAGAACUACUUGUGGUUUUCUCCAUCACUUGAGUAGCUUUUAAUUGGACAUUAAUUUCUCAUUCACUUGAGAAAUUAAUUUAUAAAAAUUUAUUUGCGAGAUAGGUUAUUGUCUUACUUGAUUUUAUUAGUUACAAAAAUCAGUUUCUAACAAUCAUUCAAAUUGAAAUUAGAAUAAGUUAUAAAUAUGUUAAUAAAAAAUUCUAGCAAAAAAAAGAAUUAUUGUAGUGCGAGAGUUAGCUUGUGAUUUUGUACCAUGCAUAGCGGAAUGAUGUCAGAGUUUAUAUAUUUGAUCAGUAGAUAAAGCUUUAGUUAGAGGAUCUGUAAGAUUCUCCUUCGACUUUACAUAGUUGAUGGAAAUUAUCUUACUAGAGAUCAACUACUUAGCGAUGUUAUAUGUCUUAUGAUGAGACUUACCAUUAUACAUGCUAUUCCUUGCCCUACCAAUAGUCGCUUGGCUAUUGCAAUGUAUCAUAACUUUUGACAUGGAAUAUCCUCCACAAAAUUGUAGAGUUAUUCUUCUUCUCUAGCUUUAUCUAAAGCUAUUCCUCAAUGUCCAUGGUAUACCGAGCUAUACAAAUCUUUUUCAAGGACUUCUUGGACACAACACCUCCUCCAAUGGUAAGCAUGUGACCACUCUUGGAUUUGGAGUCUUUUGUAUCCCAUAUCUAAAUAACAUCUUCAGAUACCUUGAGUAGUGUACUCUGAUCAUUGUAUGUUUGAGAUACCUACUUAUUAGUGCUUUCCAACAAUUGCUACAUGGAUUACUUGCAUACUACUCAACUUGUUGACUGCAUAUCUUAUGAGUGCAUUUUAUGAUGUAUAUUAGACUGCCUAUUAUUCUAGAAUAUUUUGUAUGAAUGUCGAUGAAGAUGGUCCUGCUUGAGUGGGGUGAAUGGAUGGUGAGUCUAAAUUGUUCGCUUCCUUGUGCACAACUCA